rnacentral:lncRNA from 1 species
GCGAAGGUGGAUGCCCUGACUGCCGAUCACCAAGGUGAGCUCCAAUUUUUGUUGAUGUGCAGUUUGUUGGUCGGACGCCACCUAAGCUAUGAAGUUCUACCCAAUAUGAGUUGUUUGUUGUGAGCUCUGUAGUGUUGUGUCCUUUAAAGUGGGCAUGUUAGGCUUGUUGUAGACAGUGCUAUGCUUGUUGCUAGCGAUUGAUUGCUAGAUGUGCUAUGAUUGUUACAGACAGUGGGAAUGGUAACUACUAACGAAUUUUGAUUCAGUUGGUUAGUUACUAUAAGCAAGAACACGUUAUAAGCGUCAAAAUGCUAGAGAGAAAAGUUCAAGAGCCAAGAACAGAAUAGGGUCGUUGACUUGGUUAGCCUCUUUGAUGUAAUAAAUUGGUGUUGGUGGGUCCAUGUGGCUGGAGAACCCUUUUUCUCCAAAAGUCGGCAGUGUCGUGCUCAUCGUCGUUGACUGCAUCUUCAACCUCCAGAUGCCGCUUCCGUACACUGCUUUGUCAACCUCAGCCGUGACCCUUCCUCCCGGUCGCCGUGUUUAAUAUCCUACUCGUCGGCCGCCGAUCUCGAGCACCACGAGCGAAGGUGGAUGCCCUAACUGCCGAUCACCAAGGUGAGCUCCAAUUUUGGUUGAUGUGCAGUUUGUUGGUCAGACGCCACCUAAGCUGUGAAGUUCUACCCAAUAUGAACUGUUUGUUGUGAGCUCUGUAGUGUUGUAUCCUUUAAAAGCGGGCAUGUUAGGCUUGUUGUAGACAGUGCUAUGCUUGUUGCUAGCGAUUGAUUGCUAGAUGUGCUAUGAUUGUUACAGACAGUGGAAAUGGUAACUACUAACGAAUUUUGAUUCAGUUGGUUAGUUACUAUAAGCAAGAACACGUUAUAAGCGCCAAAAUGCUAGAGAGAAAAGUUCAAGAGCCAAGAACAGAACAGGGUCGUUGACUUGGUUAGCCUCUUUGAUGUAAUAAAUUGGUGUUGGUGGGUCCAUGUGGCUGGAGAACCCUUUUUCUCCAAAGGUCGGCAGUGUUGUGCUCGUCGUACACGACGGCAUGGUGGUGCUCAACUUAUGGGAGUAGGUUGGCAACCACCGCCUCUUGGAACAUCUAAAUAAUCACAUUUUGCUGAUAUUUUUCUUCUGAUUGAUGAUUGAUUCAAUUUGCACGGAGCAAUUCUGGAGGAAAUAGUACAAGCUGACUCUAAAUCAUUUCUUAGCUGGUCAAUCAUGUAAUUAGAAAGCAAAAAUAAGCUACCAAAAUGAUAUAGCUUGAUAGAGAAGUUUGGAAUAUUAACCUCCUGGUUUAGUUACCCAGGCAAUGGAGAUCCCACACAAUUUUUUGAACUCCCAUGCAGAUUAUUAUGACAAGUUGCUUGGUAUCUGACAAUCUGCUUGUCCUUCUGCUAUGCAUUUUCAGAAACUCCGCGGAAAGCUGCUGCAGAUAGGUGUUGUGCUGGUAUAUUCUUUCUGUAGCCUUUGUUCAGGUAAAUCAGACCAAGACUUGGAGACUAUAGAUAGCCACUCUUUUUUACCAACCUUUGUUUUUGUUAAUAAUGAGUCUGACAAUGAAGUGACUACAUCUCCA